UUUAUACAUUUUAUUUUGUGAUGUGAUGUGAGCGCAGGUGCAACCCAACAGGCCCCAAAUGUUCCUGGCAGCAAGUAAAAAUUAAAUAUAAAAAUAUAGUCCAAACAGGUAAGGUGUAAUUGUAUUAUGAGCCAUAGUGCUUGGUCUGUUUGUCCUAUGUAAAUCAAUUGCAGUUAGAGGCUACAUUAAUUUCCUUUCUGUAAGCACUUAUUGAACUUAUCUGAGCACAGUACAAGUACAUAUUUGCUUACUCUGUAUGCUCAAAUGUGACCCGUUAUAGCCAACAGAAAAAAAGCAGAGGCCUGAAAAACAGGUGGGGGUCCUCCACCACCACCACUCACAGAGGCUGAGCAGUUGGCCCUCAGCCAAAACAGUGGGCGCCCUGUGGCUGAAGGCAUCUCUGCGGGGACAUCCUCUGAGUCAAUAACCCCGCAAGACACAAGUGCCUACAUAAGAGUUGAUGGUGAUGGUGUACUGCAUCUGGUGCAGCCUCCUGUUGAGCCAGACCAACAUGCAGUUGUGAGUACUCUUAAUACUCCACAGAUUAUAUGAGUUUACAGUAGAACAGCAAUGUUGUUAAUUUCAUUACUACAGGAAAUUGAAGAAAUAUUGACAGCUGUUACAGAGGAGGAAGCAACAGAGACACUUUAUGAGGUUUACAUCUUACAAUGGAAAAUAUAACAAUUGAAUAAAAUGUGGUACUAUAAUAAAACCAUGGACUUUCUAUGUCUCUAACAGAGUGAUGAUGGAAAUGAAGAGGAAGAGGGUCCAGCCACUUCUCCAACAAACCUUUCCUCAGUAAGAUGUUCAGCACUGAUUUACAACCAACCUAAGUAGGCAUGUACUAUGAAUGUCAAUGCUAUUUCCUGUGUUUCCAUAGCUCCCUGUAAAGCAGCUGUAUAAGAAAUAUUUGAUCAAGAAAAUAAAGAAAUGCGACUUGGAAAUGGAACACUUCAAGCAGCAGAUCCAAAAGACCAAGAUUGAGAUUUUACUGCUGGAACAUCAGUUAAGGGAAAUACAGGCGACCAAUAAAGCCAGUUGAACAGAAAAUCUGUUUAUUCUUCUUUCAACAUGUUGAGGUGAUGGGUCAAAGGAAAUGAUUGUGACAUAUGGUGUCUCUGACUGCUCUUCCAUCUUGUAUGUCCGUGGGAGGGUCAGGAUGUUCAUGGUUUGGAUCACUGCUGAUGUUUGGUUCAGAAGGACAGUGUUCUCCUCUAAUUGUGGCAAUGUUGUGAAGAAUCACACAUGCCACAAUAAUGUCACAUGCCCUUUCUGGGGUGACCCUGAGUCUUUGAAGGCACUGGAACCGGGGCUUAAGCAUUCCGAUAGUCAUUUCAACUCUGGCUUUUGUCCUGCAAUGAGCCAGAUUAUAUCGCUGCUGUGGGCCCAGUUCAGGGUCAG